rnacentral:rRNA from 1 species
AGUGAACGCUGGCGGUAGGCCUAACACAUGCAAGUCGAACGGCAGCACAGUAAGAGCUUGCUCUUACGGGUGGCGAGUGGCGGACGGGUGAGGAAUACAUCGGAAUCUAAUUUUUCGUGGGGGAUUACGUAGGGAAACUUACGCUAAUACCGCAUACGAUCUACGGGUGAAAGCAGGGGAGCUUCGGACCUUGCGCGAUUGAAUGAGCCGAUGUCGGAUUAGCUAGUUGGCGAGGUAAAGGCCCACCAAGGCGACGAUCCGUAGCUGGUCUGAGAGGAUGAUCAGCCACACUGGAACUGAGACACGGUCCAGACUCCUACGGGAGGCAGCAGUGGGGAAUAUUGGGCAAUGGGCGCAAGCCUGAUCCAGCCAUACCGCGUGGGUGAAGAAGGCCUUCGGGUUGUAAAGCCCUUUUGUUGGGAAAGAAAAGCAGCAGGUGAAUACCCCGCUGUUCUGACGGUACCCAAAGAAUAAGCACCGGCUAACUUCGUG